GACGAACGCUGGCGGCGUGCUUAACACAUGCAAGUCGAACGGUGAAGCGCCUUCCUUUUUGGUGGGUGUGGAUGAGUGGCGAACGGGUGAGUAACACGUGAGUAACCUGCCCCCUUCUUCUGGAUAACCGCAUGAAAGUGUGGCUAAUACGGGAUAUUCUGGGUCUGUCGCAUGAUGGGUCUGGGAAAGAUAUUGUUUCGGUGGGGGAUGGGCUCGCGGCCUAUCAGCUUGUUGGUGGGGUGAUGGCCUACCAAGGCGGUGACGGGUAGCCGGCCUGGGAGGGUGGACGGUCACACUGGGACUGAGACACGGCCCAGACUCCUACAGGAGGCAGCAGUGGGGAAUAUUGCACAAUGGGCGCAAGCCUGAUGCAGCGACGCCGCGGGAGGGAUGGAGGCCUUCGGGUUGUGAACCUCUUUCGCCAGUGAAGCAGGCCUGCCUAGUUUGUGGGUGGGUUGACGGUAGCUGGAGAAGAAGCGCCGGCUAACUACGUG
rnacentral:rRNA from 1 species